GAUGAACGCUGGCGGCGUGCCUAAUACAUGCAAGUCGAGCGAACGGACGAGAAGCUUGCUUUUCUGAUGUUAGCGGCGGACGGGUGAGUAACACGUGGAUAACCUACCUAUAAGACUGGGAUAACUUCGGGAAACCGGAGCUAAUACCGGAUAAUAUUUUGAACCGCAUGGUUCAAAAGUGAAAGACGGUCUUGCUGUCACUUAUAGAUGGAUCCGCGCUGCAUUAGCUAGUUGGUAAGGUAACGGCUUACCAAGGCAACGAUGCAUAGCCGACCUGAGAGGGUGAUCGGCCACACUGGAACUGAGACACGGUCCAGACUCCUACGGGAGGCAGCAGUAGGGAAUAUUCGGCAAUGGGCGAAAGCCUGACGGAGCAACGCCGCGUGAGUGAUGAAGGUCUUCGGAUCGUAAAACUCUGUUAUUAGGGAAGAACAGAUGUGUAAGUAACUGUGCACAUCUUGACGGUACCUAAUCAGAAAGCCACGGCUAACUACGUG
rnacentral:rRNA from 1 species